rnacentral:rRNA from 1 species
UACGUAGGGUGCAAGCGUUGUCCGGAAUUAUUGGGCGUAAAGAGCUCGUAGGCGGUUUGUUGCGUCGGCUGUGAAAUCCCGAGGCUCAACCUCGGGUCUGCAGUCGAUACGAGCAAACUAGAGUGUUGCAGGGGAGACUGGAAUUCCUGGUGUAGCGGUGAAAUGCGCAGAUAUCAGGAGGAACACCAACGGCGAAGGCAGCUCGCUGGGACGGUACUGACGCUGAGGCGCGAAAGCGUGGGGAGCGAACAGG